CCAAAGGAAAAUAUAAAGUUGCCCAAAGAAAGCAGGAAAGUUAAAAACAAUGAGCUGGACUCACAAAACAUAAGCAUGAAACAUAUAGGCGGAAAAAGAGGUGAAGAAAAUGUGAAAGUUACAACUGUAAAUGGGAAAUCAUUCCAAUUAUGGCUCAAUUAAGGCAAAAGCAACCAAGGACUCUGAUCCCUUAUACUGUUCACCUUACUGGAUACGACGAGAAAAAUCUAAAUGAGUGAGAGAUAAUAGACAUCAUAAGCAGAACAGACAGCCCCAGAUCAGUUAUAGUUGGGCACCUGAAAGAGUCUACUGAGCCAUUUAACCAAGUGUACGAAUCUGGAAGUGUGAGGGUGUUAGGACCUCUUGGGCAGUGCAAAGCAGGUGUGUUCAGCAAAUCUCUUCUUCCAUGUGUACAGCAGACAGACCUUCCCAGUUGAUCAGAGGAUCGCCAGUAGGAUUGAAGC